ACCAAGCUCACCCUCUCCCUUAGUCAAGAAACUCCGCCGUCCCUGCUAGACCACCCCUUCUUUAAGGGAAGCCUUUAGGUCCCAAACUCAUUUAUGGCUUCUCCGUUUUAUGAUCACGGGACAUGUGGUUUGUGAGCCUGUAUUUUCGUGAAAAAGAUGCAUUGCAGUGGACACAAGAGUAGGGACGCUGUCCGGUGUGAGUACGGAUGUGCAGGACAAGGCCAUUUCUCCGAGGAAAGGAUGCACUGCAGUGAACACAGGAAAAGGGACGUUUUUCUGUGUGAGUACGGAUAUGUCUCAUGAGGUUGGAUCUCUGCACAAAGGAUGCACCACAGUGCACACAGGAAAAGGGACGCUCUCCUGUGUGCAUACGGAUGUGUCUCACGAGGUGGUAUUUCACAAAAAAGGAUGCAUCGCAGUGGACACAGGAAAAUGGACGCUCACCCGUGUGGGUGCGCAUGUGGUCAUUGAGUCGGCUUUUCCGCGAAAAGGAUGCAUCGCAGUGGUCACAGGAAAAGGGACGCUCUCCUGUGUGAGUAUGUGGUCAUUGAGAGAGCGUUUCGUCGAAAAGGAUGCAUUGCAGAGGACACAGGAAAAGGGACGCUCUCCUGUGUGACGGCGCAUGUGGUCGUUGAGGGUACCUUUUUGAGAAAAGGAUGCAUUACAGUGGAC